CCCUUAGAUGUUCUGGGCGGCCCGCGCACUACAUUGGCACUGGCAACAAGAUCCUAGAUCUGAUAUUUCGGGGUAUUCUACCAACUGGUGUCGUGACUGGGAUUAACCCCUGCAAUUAUUGGUUAUGGACGAGGAAUUCCUUGUAAUCACGGUUUAUCAACCCGUGUUGAAUGCGUCCCUGCCCUUUGUACACACCGCCCGUCGCUCCUACCGAUGAAUCGUCCGGUGAAGUUCAUGGAGUCGCUGCUGCUCCAGCUGUUUUCGAAGUGAAAUGGACCUCAUGAUUUAGAGGAAGGAGAAGUCGUAACA
rnacentral:rRNA from 1 species